rnacentral:misc_RNA from 1 species
CCCUUGUGGAGGAGGACGCCGAAGGUGGGGCUAAUGACUGGGGUGAAGUCGUAACAAGGUAGCCGUACCGGAAGGUGCGGCUGGAUCACCUCCUAACAGGGAGACAACAAAAUGUUUAAUAUUAUUAUUUUGUCACCUUAGGUCGAUCGGUAUCUCACGUUUUUAAUUUAUUAAGAAUUUCAUUUCCUAAGUUUUUCUAGGUCACACCCAUUAUUUUUCCUGGGCCAUUAGCUCAGGUGGUUAGAGCGCACCCCUGAUAAGGGUGAGGUCCCUGGUUCAAGUCCAGGAUGGCCCAUAUCUCUAUGUUGGGGGUAUAGCUCAGUUGGUAGAGCGCCUGCUUUGCAAGCAGGAUGUCAGCGGUUCGAGUCCGCUUACCUCCACUGAUUACCACCUCUUCCAUAAUUUGAAGAAAGGAAAUUUUUUGAGUUGUGAUCAAAUUCUGAACGAAUCUAGCUUCCUAAUGAAUCCAUUAAGAUGCUGGACUCAUUGAAUUAAUUUUCAUUGUUUUCAGAGAACCUUGACAACUGCAUAGAUUAUUUUUAAAGACAAUAAGCAUCUUUAAUGAUGCAGAUUUAUUAUUUGUGCGAAUGCAUUAAUAACAAUUCUAUUAAGCUGAUGCUUCAAUUUAAUGAAGUUAUUGGUCAAGCUACAAAGGGCUCACGGAGGAUACCUAGGCACAC